AUUGAACGCUGGCGGCAUGCUUUACACAUGCAAGUCUGACGAGUGGCGGACGGGUGAGUAAUGCUUGGGAAUCUGGCUUAUGGAGGGGGAUAACGACGGGAAACUGUCGCUAAUACCGCGUACCAUAGGAUGAGCCCAAGUGGGAUUAGGUAGUUGGUGGGGGAAUGGCGCACCAAGCCGAAGAUCUCUAGCUGGUCUGAGAGGAUGACCAGCCACACCGGGACUGAUACACGGCCCGGACUCCUACGGGAGGCAGCAGUGGGGAAUAUUGCGCAAUGGGGGCAACCUGACGCAGCCAUGCCGCGUGAAUGAAGAAGGCCUUCGGGUUGUAAAGUUCUUUCGGUGACGAGGCGUUAAUCACAGAAGAAGCACCGGCUAACUCCGUGCCAGCAGCCGCGGUAAUUC
rnacentral:rRNA from 1 species